CAAUCCCUGCAAGGAUAAGAUGAACCAACAAUCGCAUGGAAUCAUCUUGUGGCCCAUCCAAUCAUCACUAUCACCACGGCCCAUCCGGUCGCCAUGUACUAUGGAAUGCAUGAGCAUACUCUGACUCUAUCCACGACAAUCGUUAAGUAAAUGCAAAUAUUAAAAGAUUCCCCAUUUUUAAUACCCAUUUAACUCUAACAAUUCGGACGACAAUCAUUAAGUAAAUGCAGAUAUUAUAAGAUUCCUCAUUUUUAAUACCCAUUUAACUCUAACAAUUGGGACGACAAUCAUUAAGUAAAUGCAUAUAUUAAAAGAUUCCCCAUUUUUAAUACCCAUUUAACUCUAACAAUUCGGACGACAAUCAUUAAGUAAAUGCAGAUAUUAAAAGAUUCCCCAUUUUUAAUACCCAUUUAACUCUAACAAUUCGAACGACAAUCAUUAAUUAAAUGCAGAUAUUAAAAGAUUCUCCAUUUUUAAUACCCAUUUAACUCUAACAAUUCAUACGACAAUCAUUAAGUAAAUGCAGAUAUUAAAAGAUUCCCCAUUUUUAAUACCCAUUUAACUCUAACAAUUCGAACGACAAUUAUUUAGUAAAUGCAGAUAUUAAAAGAUUCCCUAUUUUUAAUACCCAUUUAACUCUAACAAUUUUCAGUACAAACAUUAAGUAAACAAAGAUAUUAAAAGAUUCCCCAUUUUUAAUACUCGUUUAACUCUAAUGAUUUUCACAACAAACAUUAAGUAAAUAGAGAUAUUAAAAGAUUCUCCAUUUUUAAUACUCGUUUAACUCUAAUGAUUUUCAAAUUCCACACAGAACAUACUCAGACAUAUUCUCAAAUUCAAUCAACAAUUCACACCAAAUCUCAUGAAUUCAUUUUUCCACAAAAUCCACACAAAUACAUCUAAAUUUUUUUAAAUAUUAAUUAUGAACACGUCAAACACGACAACCACAAAAUUAUCUCAACUCACCACUCAAACACAUCAAAUUUCAUUUCCUCAAAACCACACAUAAAUUAGUUAAAUUCAUUUUCCACGAAACACUCAUCAAUAUCACCAAAACCCAGCUCUAAAAUUUCACCCAUAAAAGCAUUAAAUUCAUUUUCCACGAAACACUCAUCAAUAUCACCAAAACCCAGCUCUAAAAUUUCACCCAUAAAAGCAUUAAAUUCAUUUUCCACGAAACACUCAUCAAUAUCACCAAAACCCAGCUCUAAAAUUUCACCCAUAAAAGCAUUAAAUUCAUUUUCCCCAAACCAACACUUCAACCCUAACAAAAUUCUUUUCCACACAACCACAAAUAAGUCCCUAAAUGCAAACUAAAAGUUUGGAACGAGCCCUUACCUUAACGAUAGCUUUAACGAGCGAUUACGGUACCGCGAUUUAUUCCGGUAAAAACUUUGUUCGCAUUGUCGCUUCCAAAGUUGACUCUCUAGCACCGUAGCGGAGUGAUGAGCAACUUUCCCUUCUAUCUCUUCACAAAAUAAAGCUUGGAUCUAGAAGAAACGUGAGAGUUUGUGUUUGACGGUUUUGAAAUCCCUAACACCGUUUUUCUUCGUUUUUGAAUCAAACAAGAAGAAUGAAGCUGAGAAAUCUUUGUUUUCUAACCCACC
rnacentral:lncRNA from 1 species